rnacentral:sRNA from 2 species
CAGAAACGGUCACCAAAUUUUGAGGGCAAUAACGGGGGACCCACUUUCCGGCGUGCAAACGCCUUGGGGUGAAGUUCUGCGACAAGCAGGCCGGCUCAUUCUCCAGAGCCGAACCCGACAGCUAACUUCGUAGGCGCAACAGUGAGAGGAA